ACGGAAGGCAGCAGUGGGGAAUAUUGGACAAUGGGGGAAACUCUGAUCCAGCGACGCCGCGUGAGUGAAGAAGUAUUUCGGUAUGUAAAGCUCUAUCAGCAAGGAAGAAAAUGACGGUACUUGACUAAGAAGCUCCGGCUAAAUACGUGCCAGCAGCCGCGGUAAUACGUAUGGAGCAAGCGUUAUCCGGAUUUACUGGGUGUAAAGGGAGCGUAGACGGCAAAGCAAGUCUGAAGUGAAAUCCCGGGGCUCAACCCCGGAACUGCUUUGGAAACUGUUUAGCUAGAGUGCAGGAGAGGUAAGCGGAAUUCCUAGUGUAGCGGUGAAAUGCGUAGAUAUUAGGAGGAACACCAGUGGCGAAGGCGGCUUACUGGACUGUAACUGACGUUGAGGCUCGAAAGCGUGGGGAGCAAACAGGAUUAGAUACCCUGGUA
rnacentral:rRNA from 1 species